ensembl:lncRNA
CAUGAUUUACAAAAAAGCAAAAUAUAUUUAUUGCAAUAAAUCCUAACUAGAAAAACACAGGUGCAAACAAACACAUAAAAGAUGGUUCAUGAAGUGAAAACCACACAUUAUUAUGGUCUUUAAAAAAAACAAACAAACAGAAAAAACCACACAUUUCGAUUAUGCUCGCAGUAGUGCAGAGAACGCCAUUGAAAACUAGUGAGCACAUCCAGCAAAUGCAUAGUGGAAAUACACAUCACUGGCCAGAUUAUGCAAAUAUUUACAGAAGGGGAUCAUAGGUAGGAGUUAAAUAAAGAAAAAAAGAGAGAACUGAAUCCAAGGAUCUCUGUGAUGUGUUUUAAAUAUUAAGAAGUAACGUACACGUUGCGUAAUCAAGCUUUUUUCCCCCCCAAACAUAAAAAGUAACAAACAAUAAAAGCUUUUCAUUUGACCUCCAGCAUGCCUUUUUUAUUUCAUAUAGGUUGAUUGAUGAAUGAGAAAGAAUCAAAGCAAAUGCAUAAAACAUCUAUGUCCACCAUCAGGUGUAUUGUAUGAAUUUGGUACAGUGUUGCUACUUGGAAAAUGUGCACAUUCUGUGCAUAAUGCCAUUCUUUUGUACAACAGGACAAUUUUUAGGUCAGUCCUGAAGUAUAAGAUGCAUCUGAAUAAAUAUCCAACAUUCCAUGUACACCGAAGCAACAUUUGGCUUUACAUUAAGGCUCUUGGUGGGAGUAAAACAAAACAUUCCAGAGAAAGCAUUCAGCACCACUGUACUUUGUCUAACAAGUUCCCUCCAACAUAGAUUAUGCAGCAAAAAAAAUUAUUAAAUUAUGCAAACCUACUAUUACCUACGACAAUUGGGUUCUUCAUUGUCAGCCAGGCCCAACCAAUUAGUCCAGACCGGCUGAAUCUCCUUGUAUAGCCUCUCCCAAAUAGGAGCCAUUGUGUUCAAGCACUGCUAUUCUGCAUAAAUACUGACACAUCAAGAACACAAGAACGUUUGGAUUCUGAAGGCACAUGGGUGCAUGAUAACAUGAAUCACAAAACCUUCCAAACAUAACUCCUUUUUCAAUGGAAAAAAAGGAAACCCUGCCAAUAACGAAUUAUGAAAUUAAUAAUGACACCAAAUUAUUGUAGUAGUAAUAAUAAUAAUAAUAAAAGCUGCCAGAGUUUGACCUCCA